rnacentral:lncRNA from 1 species
UCUCAAUUAGAUUUUAGAACACUGUUUUGGUAGAUCAAUACUAAUACCUAUCAAACAUGAAUACUUUGACAAGUUCUUAAGACUAAGUACAUAUUUCCUAUUAUGGGCCCGUUCACGACAUUUUUAAAAAACAUCCAGUUGAACAGUGCUUGGGAUCAUUUUAUUUCUAAGUGGGUAAGUGGGAAAGAUGCUAUAUUGAAGGGGAAAUUCUCAGAAAUCUUGAUCUUCUAGUCUUCCUACGAAGCAUAAGCCAUCUGGAAGUCAGAAGGCUCACUUCUCAGGAGGGUAGGGUAUACUUUGCUUUUUUGAAACUGUUAAGUAACACUAGAUUUAUAAACCAUAUGGAGAAUACCUGAGUCUUAAAGCCCACAAUUGUAUCUCCCUCUAUACCCUCCCUGCACUAACCAUUGCUUUAUAAAACAAUACUAUUUCCAGAUCAAUCUGACUUAGUGGUGCUGGUCAUUUUUGUGUAAAACAGCAUCGUAUACAUAAAAUUAUUUAUAUGCCUUGUUGCUCUGGAUCGAACUUUUGUGUUGGAGGUAGCAAAAGCAGGUAUCCUGGUCUUACUUUUAAUCUCAGGAAAAGCUUUCAGUAUUUAACCAUUAUGUCUGCUGUGGGUUUUUAAUAAUGUGGACUUGAGGUAGUUUCCUUCUCUUCCUAGUUUUGUUGUAUUUUGAUUGUUGAAAGGGUCUUGAUCAUGUCACAAUGCCUUUUCUGCAAAAUUAAGAUGACCAUAGUUUCUCCCCUUUCUUUGAAUUCAGAAAUUUCUGAUGUUUGGCAGAAUUUGCUAACCAUUUGGUCCUGAGGGGUCUUUUGAUUAUUGAUCCAGUCUCCUUAGAUUUUUCUGUUUGUGAUUCAGUCUUUGCAGGUUGCAUCCUUCUAGGGAUCUGUGCAACAGGAUUAUCCAAUUUAUUGGCAUACAGUUGUUCAUAGUACUUAUUUUGGAGAUGAAAUCUGGGCUGUCUCUGAACAUAUUACUCUCAUAUAUGAAUCUUGUUUACCUUUGUAGAACUCUAGAGUAAUGUCCUUAUUUUCAUCUGAUUUAUUUGACCUUUUAUCUUUGAAGCAGUUAAUCUGUUUGCUCAUUUUCUUUUUGAAAAAUGAUCAAUAUUUCACCUCAAAGGAACAUUUUGUCUACAGUUUUAUGAAUACACUAUUUGUAUAUUUGAUAAAUUCCUAGGAUAGAAUAUGUAUAUCAAUUUCACUCAAUGCCAAAAUGAGUUCAUUUUUUUGAAUUCUUGAAUACUUUUGUACAUUUUAGCUAACCUGGUGGGUAGUAUUCCUUUUCAGUUGCCAUUUUGGAUUUCUUCUGUCAAGGGCUAAUAAAAAU